UAUGGAAGUCCAGGUUGUACCCAUUCUACGUCCCUGGCACGAUGUAAGAGAAAGUCCAGGUUGUACCCAUUCUACGUCCCUGGCACAUUGGUAUGUUAUGAUAUGUUAUGUUAAGAGAAAGACUGGUUGUACCCAUUCUACAUCCCGGCACAGUUGGACUAUGUAGAGGACUAUAGGUGACAAUACCAUCCGAGAUGUGAUUAGUUGUGAUGUGUUGCAUUACAUAAUGGCAUGAG
rnacentral:lncRNA from 1 species